GGCCGUGUAGCUCAAUGGCAGAGCGUCUGACUACGAUGUUCUCAUUAGACAGUAUCAGUAAUCAGAAGGUCGCAGGUUCGACCCCUGUCUCGGUCA
rnacentral:tRNA from 1 species